rnacentral:rRNA from 2 species
UCGGAGAGUUUGAUCCUGGCUCAGGACGAACGCUGGCGGCGUGCCUAAUACAUGCAAGUCGAGCGGACAGAAGGGAGCUUGCUCCCGGAUGUUAGCGGCGGACGGGUGAGUAACACGUGGGUAACCUGCCUGUAAGACUGGGAUAACUCCGGGAAACCGGAGCUAAUACCGGAUAGUUCCUUGAACCGCAUGGUUCAAGGA